rnacentral:rRNA from 1 species
UACGGGGGGAGCAAGCGUUGUUCGGAUUUACUGGGCGUAAAGGGCGCGUUGGCGGCGCAACAAGUCACUUGUGAAAUCUCCGGGCUUAACCCGGAGCGGCCAAGUGAUACUGUCGUGCUAGAGUGCGGAAGGGGCUACUGGAAUUCUCGGUGUAGCGGUGAAAUGCGUAGAUAUCGAGAGGAACACCUGCGGCGAAGGCGGGUAGCUGGGCCGACACUGACGCUGAGGCGCGAAAGCCAGGGGAGCGAACGGG